rnacentral:rRNA from 1 species
UCUGCCCUGAGGUCUGACAUAACCCGUCGAAAGGCGGGCUAACAUCAGAUGAUAUAUAAUCACGACAUCGUGGAAACAUCAAAUCUUCGGAGCCUUGGGAUGAGCCUGCGUCUGAUUAGGGUAGUUGGCGGAGUAAUAGCCCACCAAGCCUACGAUCAGUAGCUGGUCUGAGAGGAUGAUCAGCCACACUGGAACUGAGACACGGUCCAGACUCCUACGGGAGGCAGCAGUAAGGAAUAUUGCUCAAUGGGGAAACCCUGAAGCAGCAACGCCGCGUGAAGGAUGAAAUACUUUGUAUGUAAACUUCUGUAAGAUGGGAAAAAUAUUCUCCUCGGGAGAAUUGAUUGUACCAUCAGAGUAAGCCCCGGCUAACUACGUG